rnacentral:rRNA from 1 species
UACGGGGGGGGCAAGCGUUGUUCGGAAUUACUGGGCGUAAAGGGCUCGUAGGCGGCCAACUAAGUCAGACGUGAAAUCCCUCGGCUUAACCGGGGAACUGCAUCUGAUACUGGAUGGCUUGAGUUCGGGAGAGGGAUGCGGAAUUCCAGGUGUAGCGGUGAAAUGCGUAGAUAUUGGGAAGAACACCGGUGGCGAAGGCGGCUCUCUGGACCGAGACUGACGCUGAGGCGCGAAAGCCAGGGGAGCGAACGGG